rnacentral:lncRNA from 1 species
GAUUAUAGUUAAUUAUUAAUAAUAUUAAGGACUAAACUGUAGUAAUAUGUAAAUUUUGUAGAGAAAAGUUUAGUGAUUGUAGUUUUCUCUUUAUUAUAAGUGGGUCCCCCAAGUUCUAUUUUUCGUCUUGGAUCUAGUUUUAUUGUAUGUUAUUUGGGAGCAGCAAUAUGGAAACAAUAAGCUAAAAGAGAUCUUUAUGAAUAUAUGAUUUGCUGCAAUGGUUCAACCAGAUGAGUUGAUCUUCCACUGCCAUUAAACAGCUGUUUCCUUUCUAACAGUUAUUGUUGCUUUUCCCUUGCCAUUAACCACCUCUUCCCUUGCUCUAACUCCCAAAAUUCAGAGGCUUAAUGGGCUCAUUACUUAAAUCGGCCCAGAAGGGUACAUAGUGCCCCCAUGAUAUAUAAGCAAAACUAGGUUAUAUGACUAAGAGUACUUCACUCUGCAGACGGCUUCACAC